CAACUAGGUAACACAACUAGGUAACACACAGGUAACACAACCAGGUAACACACAGGUAACACAACCAGGAAACACACAGGUAACACACAGUUAACACACAGGAAACACACAGGUAACACAACCAGGAAACACACAGGUAACACACAGGUAACACACAGGAAACACACAGGUAACACACAGGAAACACACAGGAAACACACAGUUAAAACACAGUUAACACACAGGAAACACACAGGUAACACAACCAGGUAACACACAGGUAACACAUCCAGGAAACACACAUGUAACACAACCAGGUAACACACAGGUAACACACAUGUAACACAACCAGGUAACACACAGUUUACACAACCAGGUAACACACAGGUAACACACAUGUAACACAACCAGGUAACACAGGUUACACAACCAGGUAACACACAGAUAACACAACCAGGUAACACAACCAUGUAACACACAGGUAACACAACCAGGUAACACACAGGUAACACACAGGUAGCACAUAGGUAACACACAUGUAACACAACAAGGUAACACACAGGUAGCACACACAGGUAACACAACCAGGUAACACACACAGGUAACACACAGGUAACACACACAGGUAACACAAUCAGGUAUCAACCAGGUAACACACCCAGGUAACACACAGGUAACACACAGGUAACACAACCAGGAAACACACAGUUAACACACAGUUAACACACAGGAAACACACAGGUAACACACAGUUAACACACAGGAAACACAAAGGUAACACAACCAGGUAACACACAGGUAACACAACCAGGAAACACACAGGUAACACACAUGUAACACAACCAGGUAACACACAGUUUACACAACCAGGUAACACACAGGUAACACACAUGUAACACAACCAGGUAACACAGGUUACACAACCAGGUAACACACAGAUAACACAACCAGGUAACACAACCAUGUAACACACAGGUAACACAACCAGGUAACACACAGGUAACACACAGUUAGCACAUAGGUAACACACAUGUAACACAACAAGGUAACACACAGGUAACACACACAGGUAACACAACCAGGUAACACACACAGGUAACACACACAGGUAACACAAUCAGGUAUCAACCAGGUAACACACCCAGGUAACACACAGGUAACACAAUCAGGUAACACACAGAUAACACAAUCAGGUAACACAACCAGGGAACACAACCAGGUAACACACAGGUAACACAAUCAGGUAACACAAUCAGGUAACACACAGAUAACACAGCCAGGUAACACAGGUAUCACACACAGGUAACACAAUCAGGUAACACAGGUAUCACACACAGGUAACACAAUCAGGUAACACACAGAUAACACAACCAGGUAACACAGGUGUCACACACAGGUAACACAACCAGGUAACACAAUCAGGUAACACACAGAUAACACAACCAGUUAACACAGGUAUCACACACAGAUAACACAACCAGGUAACACACAGGUAACACAACCAGGUAACACACAGGUAACACAACCAGGUAACACACAGGUAACACACAGGUAACACAACCAGGUAACACAACCAGGUAACACAAUCAGGUAACACACAGGUAACACACAGGUAACACAACCAGGUAACACACAGAUAACACAACCAGGUAACACAGGUAUCACACACAGGUAACACAAUCAGGUAACACACAGGUAACACAACCAGGUAACACACAGGUAACACAACCAGGUAACACACAGGUAACACAACCAGGUAACACACAGGUAACACACAGGUAACACAGCCAGGUAACACACAGGUAACACAACCAGGUAACACAAUCAGGUAACACAACCAGGUAACACACAGGUAACACACAGGUAACACAACCAGGUAACACACAGAUAACACAACCAGGUAACACAGGUAUCACACACAGGUAACACAAUUGGGUAAUACAACCAGGUAACACACAGGUAACACAACCAGGUAACACACAGGUAACACAACUACCUGUUACCUGGCUGUGUAGCAUAAGUAGUGAACUGGAGGAGGGUCUUCAUGGAUCAGAAGAUUCAUUUCAUAUUCAUAUUCCUUUUAAUAGAACAGAUUGUUUUACGUUCCUGAAGGAACCUUAAAGUUCAGAAUGACUUUCAUAAACCAGAACCAGGAACCAAUAAUUGUUCCUGGGACUCUGAAAUAUUCACACUAGGAUACAUCCCAUAAUACUGAUGGUCAGACUAGGAUACAUCCCAUAAUACUGAUGUUCACACUAGGAUACAUCCCAUAAUACUGAUGUUCACACUAGGAUACAUCCCAUAAUACUGAUGAUCACCAGGAAACAUCCCAUAAUACUGAUGAUCACUAGGAUACAUCCCAUAAUACUGAUGAUCACCAGGAUACAUCCCAUAAUACUGAUGAUCACUAGGAUACAUCCCGUAAUACUGAUGGUCACACUAGGAUACAUCCCAUAAUACUGAUGAUCACCAGGAUACAUCCCAUAAUACUGAUGAUCACUAGGAUACAUCCCAUAAUACUGAUGAUCACUAGGAUCCAUCCCAUAAUACUGAUGAUCACUAGGAUACAUCCCAUAAUACUGAUGGUCACUAGGACACAUCCCAUAAUACUGAUGAUCACACUAGGAUACAUCCCAUAAUACUGAUGAUCACUAGGAUACAUCCCAUAAUACUGAUGAUCACUAGGAUACAUCCCAUAAUACUGAUGAUCACCAGGAUACAUCCCAUAAUACUGAUGGUCACACUAGGAUACAUCCCAUAAUACUGAUGAUCACCAGGAUACAUCCCAUAAUACUGAUGAUCACUAGGAUACAUCCCAUAAUACUGAUGAUCACACUAGGAUACAUCCCAUAAUACUGAUGAUCACACCAGGAUACAUCCCAUAAUACUGAUGGUCACACUAGGAUACAUCCCAUAAUACUGAUGAUCACUAGGAUACAUCCCAUAAUACUGAUGAUCACUAGGAUACAUCCCAUAAUACUGAUGGUCACACUAGGAUACAUCCCAUAAUACUGAUGAUCACCAGGAUACAUCCCAUAAUACUGAUGAUCACACUAGGAUACAUCCCAUAAUACUGAUGGUCACUAGGAUACAUCCCAUAAUACUGAUGAUCACACUAGGAUACAUCCCAUAAUACUGAUGAUCACUAGGAUACAUCCCAUAAUACUGAUGAUCACCAGGAUACAUCCCAUAAUACUGAUGAUCACACCAGGAUACAUCCCAUAAUACUGAUGGUCACACUAGGAUACAUCCCAUAAUACUGAUGAUCACUAGGAUACAUCCCAUAAUACUGAUGAUCACUAGGAUACAUCCCAUAAUACUGAUGGUCACACUAGGAUACAUCCCAUAAUACUGAUGGUCACUAGGAUACAUCCCAUAAUACUGAUGAUCACACUAGGAUACAUCCCAUAAUACUGAUGGUCACUAGGAUACAUCCCAUAAUACUGAUGAUCACACUAGGAUACAUCCCAUAAUACUGAUGGUCACUAGGAUACAUCCCAUAAUACUGAUGAUCACACUAGGAUACAUCCCAUAAUACUGAUGGUCACUAGGAUACAUCCCAUAAUACUGAUGAUCACACUAGGAUACAUCCCAUAAUACUGAUGAUCACUAGGAUACAUCCCAUAAUACUGAUGAUCACUAGGAUACAUCCCAUAAUACUGAUGGUCACUAGGACACAUCCCAUAAUACUGAUGAUCACCAGGAUACAUCCCAUAAUACUGAUGAUCACUAGGAUACAUCCCAUAAUACUGAUGGUCACUAGGACACAUCCCAUAAUACUGAUGAUCACACUAGGAUACAUCCCAUAAUACUGAUGAUCACCAGGAUACAUCCCAUAAUACUGAUGGUCACUAGGAUACAUCCCAUAAUACUGAUGAUCACUAGGAUACAUCCCAUAAUACUGAUGAUCAGCAGGAUACAUCCCAUAAUACUGAUGAUCACUAGGAUACAUCCCAUAAUACUGAUGGUCACUAGGAUACAUCCCAUAAUACUGAUGAUCACACUAGGAUACAUCCCAUAAUACUGAUGGUCACUAGGAUACAUCCCAUAAUACUGAUGAUCACACUAGGAUACAUCCCAUAAUACUGAUGAUCACUAGGAUACAUCCCAUAAUACUGAUGAUCACUAGGAUACAUCCCAUAAUACUGAUGGUCACUAGGACACAUCCCAUAAUACUGAUGAUCACACUAGGAUACAUCCCAUAAUACUGAUGAUCACCAGGAUACAUCCCAUAAUACUGAUGAUCACCAGGAUACAUCCCAUAAUACUGAUGGUCACUAGGAUACAUCCCAUAAUACUGAUGAUCACACUAGGAUACAUCCCAUAAUACUGAUGAUCACUAGGAUACAUCCCAUAAUACUGAUGGUCACUAGGACACAUCCCAUAAUACUGAUGAUCACACUAGGAUACAUCCCAUAAUACUGAUGAUCACACUAGGAUACAUCCCAUAAUACUGAUGAUCACACUAGGAUACAUCCCAUAAUACUGAUGGUCACUAGGAUACAUCCCAUAAUACUGAUGAUCACUAGGAUACAUCCCAUAAUACUGAUGAUCACACUAGGAUACAUCCCAUAAUACUGAUGGUCACACUAGGAUACAUCCCAUAAUACUGAUGGUCACUAGGAUACAUCCCAUAAUACUGAUGAUCACUAGGAUACAUCCCAUAAUACUGAUGAUCACUAGGAUACAUCCCAUAAUACUGAUGGUCACUAGGACACAUCCCAUAAUACUGAUGAUCACACUAGGAUACAUCCCAUAAUACUGAUGGUCACUAGGAUACAUCCCAUAAUACUGAUGAUCACACUAGGAUACAUCCCAUAAUACUGAUGGUCACUAGGAUACAUCCCAUAAUACUGAUGAUCACUAGGAUACAUCCCAUAAUACUGAUGAUCACACUAGGAUACAUCCCAUAAUACUGAUGGUCACUAGGAUACAUCCCAUAAUACUGAUGAUCACUAGGAUACAUCCCAUAAUACUGAUGAUCACUAGGAUACAUCCCAUAAUACUGAUGGUCACUAGGACACAUCCCAUAAUACUGAUGAUCACACUAGGAUACAUCCCAUAAUACUGAUGAUCACCAGGAUACAUCCCAUAAUACUGAUGAUCACCAGGAUACAUCCCAUAAUACUGAUGAUCACUAGGAUACAUCCCAUAAUACUGAUGAUCACACUAGGAUACAUCCCAUAAUACUGAUGGUCACUAGGAUACAUCCCAUAAUACUGAUGAUCACUAGGAUACAUCCCAUAAUACUGAUGAUCACACUAGGAUACAUCCCAUAAUACUGAUGAUCACAGAAGGAUACAUCCCAUAAUACUGAUGAUCACCAGGAUACAUCCCAUAAUACUGAUGAUCACACUAGGAUACAUCCCAUAAUACUGAUGGUCACUAGGAUACAUCCCAUAAUACUGAUGAUCACUAGGAUACAUCCCAUAAUACUGAUGAUCACACUAGGAUACAUCCCAUAAUACUGAUGGUCACUAGGAUACAUCCCAUAAUACUGAUGAUCACUAGGAUACAUCCCAUAAUACUGAUGAUCACACUAGGAUACAUCCCAUAAUACUGAUGAUCACAGAAGGAUACAUCCCAUAAUACUGAUGGUCACACUAGGAUACAUCCCAUAAUACUGAUGGUCACUAGGAUACAUCCCAUAAUACUGAUGAUCACACUAGGAUACAUCCCAUAAUACUGAUGAUCACAGAAGGAUACAUCCCAUAAUACUGAUGAUCACCAGGAUACAUCCCAUAAUACUGAUGAUCACACUAGGAUACAUCCCAUAAUACUGAUGGUCACUAGGAUACAUCCCAUAAUACUGAUGAUCACUAGGAUACAUCCCAUAAUACUGAUGAUCACACUAGGAUACAUCCCAUAAUACUGAUGAUCACUAGGAUACAUCCCAUAAUACUGAUGAUCACUAGGAUACAUCCCAUAAUACUGAUGAUCACACUAGGAUACAUCCCAUAAUACUGAUGAUCACACUAGGAUACAUCCCAUAAUACUGAUGGUCACUAGGAUACAUCCCAUAAUACUGAUGAUCACACUAGGAUACAUCCCAUAAUACUGAUGGUCACUAGGACACAUCCCAUAAUACUGAUGAUCACACUAGGAUACAUCCCAUAAUACUGAUGGUCACUAGGAUACAUCCCAUAAUACUGAUGAUCACACUAGGAUACAUCCCAUAAUACUGAUGAUCACAGAAGGAUACAUCCCAUAAUACUGAUGGUCACUAGGAUACAUCCCAUAAUACUGAUGAUCACACUAGGAUACAUCCCAUAAUACUGAUGGUCAC